CAGUCGCCGCGGUAAUACCGAGGGUGCAAGCGUUAAUCGGAAUUACUGGGCGUAAAGCGCGCGUAGGUGGUUUGUUAAGUUGGAUGUGAAAUCCCCGGGCUCAACCUGGGAACUGCAUCCAAAACUGGCAGGCUAGAGUAGGGCAGAGGGUGGUGGAAUUUCCUGUGUAGCGGUGAAAUGCGUAGAUAUAGGAAGGAACACCAGUGGCGAAGGCGACCACCUGGGCUCAUACUGACACUGAGGUGCGAAAGCGUGGGGAGCAAACAGGAUUAGAUACCCCUGUAGUCCCUGUCUCUUAUAC
rnacentral:rRNA from 1 species